ACGAACGCUGGCGGCGUGCUUAACACAUGCACGUCGAACGGAAAGGCCCUGCUUUUGUGGGGUGCUCGAGUGGCGAACGGGUGAGUAACACGUGAGUAACCUGCCCUUGACUUUGGGAUAACUUCAGGAAACUGGGGCUAAUACCGGAUAGGAGCUCCUGCUGCAUGGUGGGGGUUGGAAAGUUUCGGCGGUUGGGGAUGGACUCGCGGCUUAUCAGCUUGUUGGUGGGGUAGUGGCUUACCAAGGCUUUGACGGGUAGCCGGCCUGAGAGGGUGACCGGCCACAUUGGGACUGAGAUACGGCCCAGACUCCUACGGGAGGCAGCAGUGGGGAAUAUUACACAAUGGGCGGAAGCCUGAUGCAGCAACGCCGCGUGCGGGAUGACGGCCUUCGGGUUGUAAACCGCUUUCGCCUGUGACGAAGCGUGAGUGACGGUAAUGGGUAAAGAAGCACCGGCUAACUACGUG
rnacentral:rRNA from 1 species